ACCUAGGCUGGGUUCCUGCCAUGAUGUCAGAGGGAGACAAACGGACUGCUUGUUAAAUUUGAUCCCCCCAGUUAGACCUGGGGAGAAAGAGUUCACCUAAAAUCCAGCUGUUCCCCCCCCUCUGUGGUCAUGACGGCUUCUUCUCCGCACAGUGACUGUUUGGUGGUCUUGUUUGGGGCAACCGCUGGUGGAAAUGGGGCUAAGCUGGGGUCCGAUGAGAGGGAACUAAUUCUGUUGGUGUGGCAAGUUGUGGAUCUUCCCAGCAAGAAGGUAGGGACGCUGCACAAAUGCCUGGUGAAGGCAGACAAUUUGGAACUAAGCGAGCCUUGCCGCGAACUGACAGGGUUGACCCCCGACAGCUUGACCAAAGCAGAGCCUCUGGACCGGGUUCUCCAACAGGUGAGGGUUAACUUGUGAAUGCAGGGAGCAGGGUUCCAACUGAUGCAAUCAAGCA